rnacentral:lncRNA from 10 species
CUUUGUUCUUUCACUCUUUGCAAUAAAUCUUGCUACUGCUCACGCUUUGGGUCCACGCUCCUUUUAUGAGCUGUAACACUCACCGUGAAGAUCUGCAGCUUCACUCCUGAACCCAGCGAGACAACGAGCCCACCAGGAGGAACGAACAACUCCAGACGCGCUACCUUAAGAGCUGUAACACUCACCGCGAAGGUCUGCAGCUUCACUCCUGAGCCAGCGAGACCACGAACCCACCAGAAGGAAGAAACUCAGAGCACAUCUGAACAUCAGAAGGAACAAACUUCAGACGCGCCACCUUAAGAGCUGUAACACUCACCACGAGGGUCCGCGGCUUCAUUCUUGAAGUCAGUGAGACCAAGAACCCACCAACGCCGGACACACAAACACUGCAUGUUCUCACUCAUAAGUGGGAGUUGAACAAGGAGAACACAUGGACACAGGAAGGGUAAUAUCACACACUGUGGCCUGUAGGGGGGUGGGGGGCUAUGGGACGGACAGCAUUAGGAGAAAUACCUAAUGUAGGUGAUGGGUUGAUGGGUGCAGCAAACCACCAUGGCACGUGUAUACCUAUGUAACAAACCUGCACCUUCUGCACAUGUACCCCAGAACUUAAAGUAUAAUAAAAAAAAAUGCUUACAAUGAAAACUAAGUGAAUAAGUAGGAUACAAAAUUGUAUAUGCA